rnacentral:rRNA from 1 species
UAGCGUAAUCACUUGUCCCCUAAAUAGAGACCAGUAUGAACGGCUAAAUGAGGACAAACCUGUCUCCUACAACCAAUCAGUGAAACUGAUCUUCCAGUACAAAAGCUGAAAUACACACAUAAGACGAGAAGACCCUGUGGAGCUUAAAAUUUACCGCUAUAUUAAAUAUACCUAGCACAAAAUUUUAAGUUGGGGCGACUUCGGAACAAAAUAGAACUUCCGAGCACAGAACCGUAAAUUCUUGCCAAGGCCUACAAGCCAAGACACAAACUGACCCAGUCAUACUGACCAACGAACCAAGUUACCCCAGGGAUAACAGCGCCAUCUUCUUUAAGAGUCCAUAUCGACAAGAAGGUUUACGACCUCGAUGUUGGAUCAGGACACCCAAAUGGUGUAGCCGCUAUUAAAGGUUCGUUUGUUCAACGAUUAACAGUCCUACGUGAU